rnacentral:rRNA from 1 species
AACGAACGCUGGCGGCAUGCCUAACACAUGCAAGUCGAACGAGACCUUCGGGUCUAGUGGCGCACGGGUGCGUAACGCGUGGGAACCUGCCCUUAGGUUCGGAAUAACUCCCCGAAAGGGGGGCUAAUACCGGAUAAUGUCUUCGGACCAAAGAUUUAUCGCCUUUGGAUGGGCCCGCGUUGGAUUAGCUAGUUGGUAGGGUAAAAGCCUACCAAGGCGACGAUCCAUAGCUGGUCUGAGAGGAUGAUCAGCCACACUGGGACUGAGACACGGCCCAGACUCCUACGGGAGGCAGCAGUGGGGAAUAUUGGACAAUGGGCGAAAGCCUGAUCCAGCAAUGCCGCGUGAGUGAUGAAGGCCUUAGGGUUGUAAAGCUCUUUUACCCGGGAUGAUAAUGACAGUACCGGGAGAAUAAGCGCCGACUAACUCCGUG